rnacentral:lncRNA from 1 species
GACGCCAACCAAGGUUCCAAGCCCAAACUCCCUCUUCCCAUCGUCCCAAAUUUUUUACGAAACCAUCCUGAUUAUCACUUAAUCUAAAGAGCCUAGGAAACAACUCCUUAAGGCUCCUCUCUCCCACCCAACACUGAUGCCAAAACAAGAACCCAUCGCCCUCUCCAAUUUGGACCACAAGAUUUUUCCUCAACCACCUCCCUUUUUCCCCCCUGCUCAAGUCCAGAACUCUCUUCCACCACCCCGACCUCGCUGCCCUAUUUCCAUGUAAAAAG